UGUUGGUGGGGUAACGGCUCACCAAGGCGACGAUCCCUAGCUGGUCUGAGAGGAUGACCAGCCACACUGGAACUGAGACACGGUCCAGACUCCUACGGGAGGCGGCAGUGGGGAAUAUUGCACAAUGGGCGCAAGCCUGAUGCAGCCAUGCCGCGUGUAUGAAGAAGGCCUUCGGGUUGUAAAGUACUUUCAGCGGGGAGGAAGGGAGUAAAGUUAAUACCUUUGCUCAUUGACGUUACCCGCAGAAGAAGCACCGGCUAACUCCGUGCCAGCAGCCGCGGCAAUACGGAGGGUGCAAGCGUUAAUCGGAAUUACUGGGCGUAAAGCGCACGCAGGCGGUUUGUUAAGUCAGAUGUGAAAUCCCCGGGCUCAACCUGGGAACUGCAUCUGAUACUGGCAAGCUUGGGUCUCGUAGAGGGGGGUAGAAUUCCAGGUGUAGCGGUGAAAUGCGUAGAGAUCUGGAGGAAUACCGGUGGCGAAGGCGGCCCCCUGGACGAAGACUGACGCUCAGGUGCGAAAGCGUGGGGAGCAAACAGGAUUAGAUACCCCGGUAGUCCACGCCGUAAACGAUGUCGACUUGGAGGUUGUGCCCUUGAGGCGUGGCUUCCGGAGCUAACGCGUUAAGUCGACCGCCUGGGGAGUACAGCCGCAAGGUUAAAACUCAAAUGAAUUGACGGGGGCCCGCACAAGCGGUGGAGCAUGUGGUUUAAUUCGAUGCAACGCGAAGAACCUUACCUGGUCUUGACAUCCACGGAAGUUUUCAGAGAUGAGAAUGUGCCUUCGGGAACCGUGAGACAAGUGCUGCAUGGCUGUCGUUAGCUCGUGUUGUGAAAUGUUGGGUUAAGUCCCGCAACGAGCGCAACCCCUAUCCUUUGUUGCCAGCGGUCCGGCCGGGAACUCAAAGGAGACUGCCAGUGAUAAACUGGAGGAAGGUGGGGAUGACGUCAA
rnacentral:rRNA from 1 species